rnacentral:rRNA from 1 species
GAACGAGCGAGAUCCAGCUUGCUGGAUUUAGCGAGUGGCGAACGGGUGAGUAAUACGUAAGCAACCUGCCUACACGGACUGGGAUAACACCUGGAAACGGGCGCUAAUACCGGAUAGGUAACGAGAGGGCAUCCUCUUGUUAUUAAAGGUUUGAAACACAAGUAGAUGGGCUUACGGUGCAUUAGCUAGUUGGUGAGGUAACGGCCCACCAAGGCGAUGAUGCAUAGCCGGCCUGAGAGGGUGAACGGCCACAUUGGGACUGAGACACGGCCCAGACUCCUACGGGAGGCAGCAGUAGGGAAUUUUCGGCAAUGGGCGCAAGCCUGACCGAGCAACGCCGCGUGAGUGAAGAAGGUUUUCGGAUCGUAAAGCUCUGUUGUAAGGGAAGAAUGGCGCGGAUAGACUCCGCGAUUGACGGUACCUUACCAGAAAGCCACGGCUAACUACGUGCCAGCAGCCGCGGUAAUACGUAGGUGGCAAGCGUUAUCCGGAAUUAUUGGGCGUAAAGGGUGCGUAGGCGGCCUGUUAAGUUUAAGGUGAAAGCGUGGGGCUUAACCCCAUACAGCCUUAGAUACUGGCAGGCUAGAGUACUGGAGAGGAAAGUGGAAUUCCAUGUGUAGCGGUAAAAUGCGUAGAGAUAUGGAGGAACACCGGUGGCGAANGCGGCUUUCUAGACAGUAACUGACGCUGAGGCACGAAAGCGUGGGGAGCAAAUAGGAUUAGAUACCCUAGUAGUCCACGCUGUAAACGAUGAAUGCUAAGUGUUGGGGUAAC